rnacentral:rRNA from 1 species
UACGAGUGGUCCAAGCGUUAAUCGGAAUCACUGGGCUUAAAGGGUGCGUAGGCGGGUCAGAAAGCGUCUUGUGAAAUCCCCCGGCUCAACCGGGGAACAGCAGGGCGAACUACUGGCCUUGAGGAAGGUAGAGGCCGGCAGAACGAUCGGUGGAGCGGUGGAAUGCGUAGAGAUCGAUCGGAAUGCCAAAGGUGAAGACAGCCGGCUGGGCCUUUCCUGACGCUGAGGCACGAAAGCGUGGGGAGCAAACAGG